ensembl:lncRNA
AAAAAAUAAAAAUAAAAUAUAACUUUUUAAAAUAAAAAAUAAUAAAAUAAAUAAAAUAAAAUAUAACUUUUUGGCAUUUGAGGACCCAACUCCUCAUUCAAUCUGUAAUCAUGAAAAUGGGUAUAUUUUAUUCCCAGUGCUCCAGUAAGUGUUCUUUUCCAACUUCAUUGACUGGAAAGUAGCGGAGCACAGCGCCUGAGGAAUGAGGAAUCUUUUUCAUCUCAUCCAUUUCUUUCUUUGGCGAAAUGCAAGGCCGCAAAUGAAGAUGAGGGGAUUUCUGGAUCUGCGCAUAUACCCUGAACCCGUUCUACGGUAUUAAGUUAAAUUAUAUUAGAAAUAUGGAAUACGAUGCUAUUUUAGUUCUACGAUAUUAAGUUAAAAUAUAUUAGAAAUAUGGAAUACAAUGCUAUUUUAUAAUAUUCGUUCUACGAUAUUAUGUUCUAUGAUAUUGGAAAAAUAAAGUAUAAAGCCAUGUCUCCUAUAUUAGUUCUACUAUAUUAUGUCAUAUCAGUGUUUCCCCUAAGGGGGAUAUAAUGGUAGGGAAAACACUGUAUAUGAUAUUAAGUUAUAUAAUAUUAUAAAUACUAAGUAUGAUGC